GUUGAGGACCCUAAUCCGCGGAGGAUGGCUGCCCAAGCCAUGUGAGCCGACCAGUGCGGCAGGCCGCGGUGAGCAAGACGCCUCUCCCCAGCCGGCUGGGUCAGCCCAGAACUGAGGAGCAGCAGGGACGAGCGCGGCUGCAGCGAUUGACGCCGUGAAGGCGUACAGCAGGGACGAGCGCAUCCUCGACGCUACAGCGAUUGACGCCGUGAAGGCAUACGCCGGCGUGGACUAGCAAGGCUGCUGCGCAUCAGAUGGCGUUGAGGAAUGAUUUGAGCUCCUCCACAUUGGGUCCGAGGAAUAUUGAAGAUCUCAGGAGCUUGCACGUAUGUCAGAUUUGAGAUGGAAAGAAGCCCUCAGAGUACAUUAAUUCA